rnacentral:lncRNA from 10 species
GUCAUCUUCACCCUCAGGCUGGUAGACUCCAGUCUCUUAGGUCAGAAUGGGAUUAGAGACCCGUUCCUGAACCAGUCACACACAGCGGGUGAAACUGCUAUGAUUGGUUUAGACUUAGAGACUGGAAUGGAUGCUGGCCUAGAAGCGAAGACACAUAGAAGCAAUGUGUACCUAGACUGUUGUCCUAAAUGCCAUUUCCUACCAGGAAGGAACCAGAGUCUUUGCAGAAAUGUAUCAUUUCACAUCUGGGUUGCUAGAUAGUUGUUUCAGA